AACGAACGCUGGCGGCAUGCCUAACACAUGCAAGUCGAACGAGACCUUCGGGUCUAGUGGCGCACGGGUGCGUAACGCGUGGGAACCUGCCCUUAGGUUCGGAAUAACUCCCCGAAAGGGGUGCUAAUACCGGAUAAUGUCUUCGGACCAAAGAUUUAUCGCCUUUGGAUGGGCCCGCGUUGGAUUAGCUAGUUGGUAGGGUAAAAGCCUACCAAGGCGACGAUCCAUAGCUGGUCUGAGAGGAUGAUCAGCCACACUGGGACUGAGACACGGCCCAGACUCCUACGGGAGGCAGCAGUGGGGAAUAUUGGACGAUGGGCGAAGGCCUGAUCCAGCAAUGCCGCGUGAGUGAUGAAGGCCUUAGGGUUGUAAAGCUCUUGUACCCGGGAUGAGAAUGACAGUACCGGGAGAAUAAGCUCCGGCUAACUCCGUG
rnacentral:rRNA from 1 species